AUUACGCUGGCGGCGUGCAUAACACAUGCAAGUCGAACGAUGAAACUUAAAUGAUCUCUUCGGAGUGAAUUUAAGUGGAUUAGUGGCGGACGGGUGAGUAACGCGUGAGUAACCUGCCUUAGAGAAGGGGAUAGCCUUUGGAAACGAAGAAUAAUACCCUAUGAAACCAUAACCUCGCAUGAGGCCUUGGUCAAAGAUUUAUCGCUCUAAGAUGGACUUGCGUCUGAUUAGUUAGUUGGUGGGGUAACGGCCUACCAAGACAGCGAUCAGUAGCCGGCUUGAGAGAGUGUACGGCCACAUUGGGACUGAGACACGGCCCAGACUCCUACGGGAGGCAGCAGUGGGGAAUUUUGCACAAUGGGGGAAACCCUGAUGCAGCGACGCUGCGUGAUUUAGAAGGCCUUCGGGUUGUAAAAAUCUUUUCUAUGGGAAGAAAAUGACAGUACCAUAGGAAUAAGGACCGGCUAAUUACGUGCCAGCAGCCGCGGUAAUACGUAAGGUCCGAGCGUUGUCCGGAAUCAUUGGGCGUAAAGGGUACGUAGGCGGGUAAGCAAGUUAGAAGUGAAAUCCUAUAGCUCAACUAUAGUAAGCUUUUAAAGCUGCUCAUCUUGAGGUAUGGAAGGGAAAGUGGAAUUCCUAGUGUAGCGGUGAAAUGCGCAGAUAUUAGGAGGAAUACCGGUGGCGAAGGCGACUUUCUGGCCAUAACCUGACGCUGAGGUACGAAAGCGUGGGUAGCAAACAGGAUUAGAUACCCUGGUAGUCCACGCCGUAAACGAUGAGUGUUAGGUGUCUGGAGUAAAUCUGGGUGCCGCAGCUAACGCAUUAAACACUCCGCCUGGGGAGUACGCGCGCAAGCGUG
rnacentral:rRNA from 1 species